UAUUUUACCGUGGGAAAGAAACAUACGUUGAAAUUGUUUUUCUUUCGUGCGAGAUAAAUUUCCUAAUCCUUGAGCGUCUUUCUCGUGCGGAGACACUGUCAUCAAACAGCUGUUACAAUCGCAUUAUGAUAUCAUGCACAAUGUUGCGCUACGUUUAUGCCAAUUUAAACAAAUGAAAUAAUUUUCCAGGAAAUUACAUAUGCGAGGUGAGAGAAAAAUCGUAAAACACUCUGGUGGUGUCCCUACCACUUUUUACCUGUGGGGGAAUCGGUAUAGAUUAUCGCAGUCAAAUGCGAAGCUUCAAUGACCACAAAUAAUGGUCUGUAUUAAGAAGCGGUUCUUCAACCCCAGUCGGCUACUUAUGCUCCCUUUUGGCUUGUGGCUUGAUGAGGAAACGAUAUUCACUCGUUUUCAGGCAACAGUGCUUUGCAGUCUUCUGAUAAGCAGUAUUUUAUUUCAGCUCUCAAGACUUUUUAUUGCAGACUGUAACUUUGACUUUGUUGUCAGAAUAUUCUCCUCCGCAACAUUCUAUGCCAUGCUCACGAUUCCGCCCAUCUUAUUUUGGACUCGUAUGAAAACUAUGAAAUAUUUCUUCGACCAACUGCAAUACAUCUAUGACCGGCUAAAGGAUAGAAACGAAAUUGCUAUUUACGACAAAUAUGGAUACAUUGCAAAACAAUUUACGAUUAUACUAAUAAUACUUCUUGUAUGCUGCCUGUUUGGCAAUUCUGUCAUAGUAUACUGGCCGUACAUUUUUGACAUCAUUAUACCGAAAAAUGAGUCUUAUGCAAUUCAUACCAUGCAAUUUGUGACCAAGUACUUCAAAGUCUCAGAGAAGUAUUAUUUUUUAGUUGUUGUGCAUUUGAAUGCAGCCUGUACUACAGGGUUAAUUGUAUUAGCAGGGACGGGAACAAUAUGUUUUUCGUAUACGCAACAUAUCUGCGGUAUGUUUGAAAUUGCCAGCUAUCGUAUUGAACAAGCAAUGACGACCGAGUUGUUAUAUAACUUUGAUAUAAAGAAUAGAAUUGUGAUAUCCAGAAAGAUGAUAUUUGCUAUAGAUAUACAACGCCAAGCUAUGCAGUUCGCUAAACAUUUUGUAACUAGUAUUGAAGGAGCACUUUUUAUUAUGGUAUUAACUACUGUGCUUUGCGUGAGUUGCAAUCUUACUCAAGUAUUUCUAAUUCAGUCACUUGCGGAGAAAAUGGAGGAAACAAUAUUACAUCUUUCGGCUGUAGGGUUCAUUCUCACGACUAUGUUCCUAACCAGUUAUGCUGGGCAAGAAAUUACAGAUCAUAGUAAUCACUUAUAUGUAAUUACAUACAACGUUUCAUGGUACUUAGCACCGUUACACAUACAGAAAAUGAUAUUGCUUCUAUUACAAAGAAGCAAUAAAAUUUUCACCCUGAGUGUCGGUGGAUUAUUUACAGGAUCUUUAGAAUGUUUCGCUACAGUAAAGCUAUUUCAUUUAUUUAUACGUAUUGUUGAAGCAACUAAUCGCAUAAGAGUGAGCGUGACUAUCUGACCAAUGAGAUGUCGGUUCACUUGGCACGAUGAAGAAGAAACUCAUGUAACUUUUAUGGAAGUAUUGUGCGCGUUCUUCUCGUUUUAACGUAUUAUUAUAUUUGUUAUAAAAGCAUGCAAAACUUGCUCCAACACAUAUAACAUACAUUGAUUAUGUAUAUUACACAUAUUCUGGUGAGUGCAUCAGUAUCUUACUUCACCUUCAUGUUCUCCAUGCAGUAAUAACGGACAGAUAGAUUGUCUGAUAGUAUA